rnacentral:rRNA from 1 species
CACAACGCGACCCCAGGUCAGGCGG